CCCGAAAGCGUUUGGAGGCCGCAGAGACUAGUGGGUAGCGACUGUUUACUAAAAACACAGGUCCGUGCCAAGUCGCAAGACGAUGUAUACGGACUGACGCCUGCCCGGUGCUGGAAGGUUAAGAGGACCGGUUAGCCGUAAGGCGAAGCUGAGAAUUUAAGCCCCAGUAAACGGCGGUGGUAACUAUAACCAUCCUAAGGUAGCGAAAUUCCUUGU
rnacentral:rRNA from 1 species